GACGAACGCUGGCGGCGUGCUUAACACAUGCAAGUCGAACGAUGAAGCUAGAGCUUGCUCUGGUGAAUUAGUGGCGAACGGGUGAGUAACACGUGAGUAACCUGCCCCGAACUCUGGGAUAACUGCUGGAAACGGUAGCUAAUACUGGAUACGACCUACGAAGGCAUCUUCUGUAGGUGGAAAGAAUUUCGGUUCGGGAUGGACUCGCGGCCUAUCAGCUUGUUGGUGAGGUAAUGGCUCACCAAGGCGACGACGGGUAGCCGGCCUGAGAGGGUGACCGGCCACACUGGGACUGAGACACUGCCCAGACUCCUACGGGAGGCAGCAGUGGGGAAUAUUGCACAAUGGGCGCAAGCCUGAUGCAGCAACGCCGCGUGAGGGAUGACGGCCUUCGGGUUGUAAACCUCUUUUAGUAGGGAAGAAGCGAAAGUGACGGUACCUGCAGAAAAAGCACCGACUAACUACGUGCCAGCCGCCGCAGUAA
rnacentral:rRNA from 1 species